UCCGGUUGAUCCUGCCGGACCCCACUGCUAUCGGGGUGGGACUAAGCCAUGCAAGUCGAAGGUCCCCGGCUCCGGGGGCCUGGCAGACAGCUCAGUAACACGUGGCCAACCUACCCUAGGGAGGGGGACAACCCCGGGAAACUGGGGUUAAACCCCCAUAGGCGAUGGGUUCUGGAAGGACCCAUCGCUGAAAGUGGUGCAUGGGGAUGCUCCAUGCACCAGCCCUAGGAUGGGGCUGCGGCCCAUCAUGGUUGUUGGUGGGGUAACGGCCCACCAAGCCUAUAACGGGUACGGGCCCUGGGAGGGGGAGCCCGGAGAUGGGCUCUGAGACAAGAGCCCAGGCCCUACGGGGCGCAGCAGGCGCGAAACCUCCCCAAUGCCCGAAAGGGUGAGGGGGUCACCCCGAGUGCCACCCUCGUGGUGGCUUUUGCCGGGUCUAAAAAGCCCGGCGAAUAAGGGGAGGGCAAGACGGGUGUCAGCCGCCGCGGUAAUACCCGCUCCCCGAGUGGUGGGGACUAUUACUGGGCUUAAAGCGCCCGUAGCCGGCCGGGUGUGUCCUCCGUUAAAUCCACGGGCCUAACCCGUGGGCUGCGGAGGAUACUACCCGGCUUGGGGGUGGGAGAGGGCGGCGGUAUUCCCGGGGUAGGGGUAAAAUCCUCUGAUCCCGGGAGGACCACCAGUGGCGAAGGCGGCCGCCCAGAACACGCCCGACGGUGAGGGGCGAAAGCUGGGGGAGCAAACGGGAUUAGAUACCCCGGUAGUCCCAGCCGUAAACGAUGCGGGCUAGGUGUCGGGUGGGCUACGGGCUCACCCGGUGCCGAAGGGAAACCAUUAAGCCCGCCGCCUGGGGAGUACGGCCGCAAGGCUGAAACUUAAAGGAAUUGGCGGGGGAGCACCACAAGGGGUGA
rnacentral:rRNA from 1 species